GAAAGAGAAAACAGAUUCAGACUAAAGCACGUGCCUGACAAUGUGUCUGCUGCAUUGCAUGAGGCAGCCUUGCUGCAGCCAACCAUAGUGGGUGCCCUUGUAGGUCCAAUUAAGAGGCUUAAUUGAAGAAUUCCAAGUUAGCAGACUGUCCUGGCACUCAGAGGAUAUUGUGCCUGGUAAUGAUAGUGUUGAAUUGGACAGAAAGAAUAUUCACAAAGGAGGAUAUAAACCUGAAGGCACAAAUCUGGGCUGGAGCACAUGGUUUCCCUUGUGAGAAGAAAAAGUCUCCUUCCUCUGAAUGGACACACCUUGCACACCAGGGCACAAGGUUUGUCUAGAAGAGCACAGCUGAACAUCAUAAAGUGCAGAACCACACACCUGGCAUCCUUGUCCCUACACAAGUUUUUGACUUAAAUUCUUUUUUAAGAAAUGUGAUUGGAAUUUUGAUAGGAAUUUCAUGGUAAGUAUCUUGUAUCUUUGGGUAAUAUGGACAUUUUAACAGUAUUAAUUCUGAUCCAUGAACACAGGAUACCUUUCCAUUUAUUUGUGUCUUCUUCAACUUCUUUUUAUCAAUGUUUACUAGUUUUCAGUAUAUAGAUAUUUCAUCUCCUUGAUUAAAUUUAUUACUAUGUGUUCCAUUUAUUUUGAUUUUAUUGUGAAAAUGACUGCUUGCUUAAUUUUUUGGUCACUUGGAAUUCCAGUAAUAUACUAAAUAGAAUUGGUAAGAACAGGUAUUUUUUUUUUUUUUUUAAUCUUAGAGAAAAAGCUUUCAGCUUGUCAACAUUGAGUAGGAUAAUCUUUUUAAGAUACAGUGCUGGAACAACUGGACAUCCACAUGUGGAAAGAUGAGUCUAGACACAGACCUUAUGUCCUUUCCAAAAAUUAACUCAAAUUGAAUCACAGACUUAAAUGUAAAAUGCGAAGUUGGCUGGGCGCAGUGGCUCACGCCUGUAAUCCUGGCACUUUGGGAGGCCGAGGCGGGUGGAUCACGAGGUCAGGAGUUUGAGACCAGCUUGGCCAACAUGAUGAAACCCCGUCUCUGCUAAAAAAUACAAAAAAUUAGCUGGGCGUGGUGGCGCGCGGUUGUAGUCCC
rnacentral:lncRNA from 10 species